GGAAAGUAGAAGGAUUGGGAAAGUAGGAAAGAUGAAAGAAAGAAGAAGAAGAAGUAGGGAAGAAGGAGAGGAGGAGUUGGCUGGAAAUUUGGGUUCUUCAAUAAGGAAGGAUGCCGACAGUGAGAGGAGAGGGAGAGCGGUCUAAAAUACAAGAAAUUAGAGAGAAAAAUGAAGAGAAAUAGAGAGAGAGAGAAAGAAGAGAGAGAAAAUAGCUUUGGAAGUUUAGUUUGAGCAAAUUGUUGAGUGUUAUGGUGCACAAAUGGUAUCAAUGGAAUUAGGAGUAGGAGAGCAACAUUUUGGUGUGUUCAGAUUCGACGAUCAUUGUCGGAGAGUGGCGACCGGGGAUCGUGCAUGGUAGUUCUAGCGGUGGCUUCAGUGACCUUUGGCCAUGAUUUAAGUUGUUGAAGUUUUCUCAUAAAUUUUUGGAAUUUUUGGGACACAGAUAAAUUUGGGAAGAGCUUUUGGAUUAUGGUUAAUAUGGAUGGAAAAGUGACAUAUACAUACUAGUUGGAAUCUUGCAGUACAGCUGACUCUGUGUUGAUCUAUUACCGGAACCCAAGCAAGAAAGGAACUCCAGUGCUUCUAAUCCAUUGAUCGGCACCGGGAAGAAAUGUUCCAACAGUGAAUUGUUGAGCUUCAUUACUGGUAAGGAAAUGAAGUGUCGUCCACUUGAUCCUAUUAGCAGUGUUGGCACCAGGUCCAGUAUUGGCAUACUCAGCAUAAUACAAUGUGUCAAGGUAUAGGUCUCCAGCCCAUGGCAGCCAUCCAUCAGGCUGAAUCAAAUCACCCAAUUCUGACUCCAUAACUACAGUCGUUGAGAAUUGUUUCCAGGGCCUGCCCAAGUAUGUCUUGACGGUGAGCCUCUCAGGUACAAGAUCGGCCUCAGGGACAAUCUUACAGUUGUGGAUAACAAGUCCAGUGUUUUGUCCCUUUUCUUUCUUGCCAUCUGCUGUCACUGUAUUGACUUGGCCGUGGUUAGGUUUCCUGACAAUGAUCGUUGAGUUUUGGAUCACAGCUGCACCAUAACCAAAGAGGAAAUCAACGGUGCCGGAAAUGACACAGUCGCGGUAGAAUUGGCGUCCGGCUUGGUACAACAAUGUGUCUUGAUACCCAUCAAACCUACAGUUGUGGAACACUGACAUAUCAGAGUUAACUCUAAUGGCAACAGCCUGGUGACCAUUAGGCCCUGCUGUGUUCUCAAAUCCCAUAUUCUUGCAAGUGAACCCUGGUGCUUCAACCACUGUAAAUGGCAAAGCAAAGAAAAGUCCUUUAUUAUAUUGCUGUAAGGUUAUGAGUUUGAACUUAGUUAAAGCCCAAUUAAUCGAUAAAGAAAAAAAAAAUUACUUUCCAUUGUCGAACUUACCAAAGGAAGCAGUGUUCCAGGUGUUUAUACCACUGGUGAAGCUCUUUUUUCCUGUGACAAUGGUCUUCUCUGGUCCAUCACCAUACAUGAGAAUAUUAGAAUGAGUUUUUGGCACCAUUACGGCCUCGUUAUAAAUUCCUGCCUUCACAUAAAUAAUAUAUCGACCAGUGUUGCUCAUUGGGUAUGAGUUUAUAGCUGCAUUAAUUGACUUGAAUUGCCCACUGCCAUCUAGAGCAACCACUGCAUUUGGUGCAAGGUCAGCGUUGCCAACGGCCAAGAGCUUUCGAUUAGCAGCAGAUAACCAGGUUGGGUACCCAUCAUCCCCAAGAAGUCGACGAGAAUGGAUGGUGGGAAGGUUUAACUGGAGAUUGAAGUCUUGGAGGAUGUUUGAAAUCGCACCAAGAAUGGUUAGGACAUUAUCUGUUAGUUCACCGCCAUAAUCCGUACUUCGUUGAACUGUAGAUUUAAUGUUGUUGUCAUGCUGAAAUCCGUCAACGCACAAUUCCUGGUAGGAGAUGAUAGAACUCAACCAGAUACGAAAGUCAUCAGCAUGUUCAGCUAUGCUUUUCAGGUUGCUGUCAGACAUCUUGUCAAGAGUAUCCUGGAGCUCAUCAGAGGCAUUUUUAAGCAAUAUCUUGCAAUCCUCCAAGGCAAGUUUCGUACGGGGCUCACUACCAGCAUUUCCUACAAGACCCUGACUCAAGUUCAUGGAUUUCGUCAAGGAAUCUGAGAUGGCUAAAAUGCCUGUCCGGAUCAGCUCCUUAGGAUCGGCGCUAUUGGCAGAACUGAGAACCUUGGUGCAAGUCUCCUUGUAAUUAGUGGGCUGGCAUAAUUGGGUAACAGCCUUCAUUUGUGGUGAUAAGUCAUCAGUACUUUGGGGUCCACCCUUCCGGCUGACAAAAGCCACAAAUCCGAUGACAACACCGACGACAAGAAUCAUGGAAAUCCCCGAAAUAACAAAUUUUCUAUUCAUUUUUUUUUCUUUCUAGGCUUCUCUUCUUUUAUUUUUUAUUUUUUAUUUUU
rnacentral:misc_RNA from 1 species